GACGAACGCUGGCGGCGUGCCUAAUACAUGCAAGUAGAACGCUGAAGGAGGAGCUUGCUUCUCUGGAUGAGUUGCGAACGGGUGAGUAACGCGUAGGUAACCUGCCUGGUAGCGGGGGAUAACUAUUGGAAACGAUAGCUAAUACCGCAUAAUAGCAGUUGUUGCAUGACAACUGUUUGAAAGGUGCAAUUGCACCACUACCAGAUGGACCUGCGUUGUAUUAGCUAGUUGGUGGGGUAACGGCUCACCAAGGCGACGAUACAUAGCCGACCUGAGAGGGGGAUCGGCCACACUGGGACUGAGACACGGCCCAGACUCCUACGGGAGGCAGCAGUAGGGAAUCUUCGGCAAUGGACGGAAGUCUGACCGAGCAACGCCGCGGGAGUGAAGAAGGGUUUCGGAUCGUAAAGCUCGGUUGUAAGAGAAGAACGAGUGUGGGAGUGGAAAGUUCACACUGUGACGGUAUCUUACCAGAAAGGGACGGCUAACUACGUG
rnacentral:rRNA from 1 species